GAUCAUGAUAACUUCACGAAUCGCACGGCCUUGCGCCGGCGAUGGCUCAUUCAAAUUUCUUCCCUAUCAACUUUCGAUGUUUGGGUAGUGGCCAAACAUGGUUGCAACGGGUAACGGAGGGUUAGGGCUCGACCCCGGAGAAGGAGCCUGAGAAACGGCUACUACAUCCAAGGAAGGCAGCAGGCGCGCAAAUUACCCAAUCCCGAUUCGGGGAGGUAGUGACAAUAAAUACUGAUACAGGGCUCUUUCGGGUCUUGUAAUCGGAAUGAGUACAAUUUAAAUCCCUUAACGAGGAACAAUUGGAGGGCAAGUCUGGUGCCAGCAGCCGCGGUAAUUCCAGCUCCAAUAGCGUAUAUUAAAGUUGUUGUGGUUAAAAAGCUCGUAGUUGAACCUUGGGCCUGGCUGGCCGGUCCGCCUCACCGCGUGUACUGGUCCGGCCGGGCCUUUCCCUCUGUGGAACCUCAUGCCCUUCACUGGGUGUGCUGGGGAACCAGGACUUUUAC
rnacentral:rRNA from 1 species